GUCUACGGCCAUGUCACCCUGAACAAGCCCGAUGUCUGAUCUCAAGAGCUAAGCAGGGUUGGGCCUGGUUAGUACUUGGAUGGGAGACCACGUAGGAAGACCAGGUGCUAUAGGCA
rnacentral:rRNA from 1 species